rnacentral:rRNA from 1 species
CGAGGGUGAUGGCAUCGUCUGAAUACAUCGCUGUUACUACUGGUGUUUGAAGGAAAGGUCCACCAGCGCGAAUUUCAAGUUGUACACCUUGAUCAACACCUUGCACCGUGAGGGUUCCAGUUGUUGCACCAGAGUCUUUAGACGAAACUGCAUCCGUUCCAAGCAACUCAUACACACCACCGUGUUCAGCCUCUGGAAACCAAUCGGUUUGAACAACCACUUUCUCUGGGCAAAUGCCAGCAAGUGCUCCCGUUUGCGGAGUUGCUGGAGCAGAGUCGCUCUCUUCAGAACUUCCACAUGAAGCGGAAAUGAGGGCUACUGCGGUCAGUGCACACGCAGAGCGAAGGACGGAUGACAAUUUCAUAGGGUCUCCAGUUUGUAUGUUGUGAAUGCUCAGCGUGUUGAAUCGGUUGGUCAU